GUCUCGGUAGUGUUAGGGAUAGAGCACGGUGAUAGAAAAGCAUAAGUGCGGGUUCGAGUCCCGUCCGAGACU
rnacentral:tRNA from 1 species